UUUGAUACCAUGCCGUGUAACGAGCCUGGACAUCUUAAAUUGAAGGAGUAUGCUGAAGAGGCAAAGAAGUUGGCCGGAGAGAUUGAAUCAACUCUUUCGUCAUCUUCAAAGUUAUUGGAGUUGGAAAACCUUUACG